GCCCUUUCGCCGGCCCGCAUUGCCCCCUAUAUUGGUGUGGUCGGGGUCACCCGACUAUGGAAAUAAAUGGCCGCCGCAAUAAACCAUUCGGACCCGGGGGCGGUACCCGGCGCCUCCACCCAAGUCCGUUCCUCCCUUUUUCGGAAGGCGGGUUUCGGCGGGGGCGAAAUAGGAUCGACGAGGGCGUAAAGGGCUCGCUUUUUCCCGGUAUUGUUCCGCCGUUAUCGGGCUACUGCAAUAGUUGCCAACGACAACUAUGCUCCGGUUGCUCAGGCUGCGUAAGGCAGUUUGAAAGACCACUUUAAAGCCCUAACGGGUUAAGCUCCGUUAGGCGGGGUUCGGAGGCACCUGGCAACAGAAGCCUCCACU
rnacentral:tmRNA from 1 species